GACGAACGCUGGCGGCGUGCUUAACACAUGCAAGUCGAACGGAAAGGCCCUGCUUUUGUGGGGUGCUCGAGUGGCGAACGGGUGAGUAACGCGUGAGUAACCUGCCCUUGACUUUGGGAUAACUUCAGGAAACUGGGGCUAAUACCGGAUAGGAGCUCCUGCUGCAUGGUGGGGGUUGGAAAGUUUCGGCGGUUGGGGAUGGACUCGCGGCUUAUCAGCUUGUUGGUGGGGUAGUGGCUUACCAAGGCUUUGACGGGUAGCCGGCCUGAGAGGGUGACCGGCCACAUUGGGACUGAGAUACGGCCCAGACUCCUACGGGAGGCAGCAGUGGGGAAUAUUGCACAAUGGGCGGAAGCCUGAUGCGGCAACGCCGCGUGCGGGAUGACGGCCUUCGGGUUGUAAACCGCUUUCGCCUGUGACGAAGCGUGAGUGACGGUAAUGGGUAAAGAAGCACCGGCUAACUACGUG
rnacentral:rRNA from 1 species